rnacentral:misc_RNA from 1 species
GUGAGUCAUCGAAUCUUUGAACGCACAUUGCACUCUCUGGUAUUCCGGAGAGUAUGCUUGUUUGAGUAUCAGUAAACACCUCAAAUCUCUUUUUUAUUAAAGAGAAUUGGACUUGAGCAAUCCCAACUCUUUGCAAAAGGAGGCGGGUUGCUUGAAAUGCAGGUGCAGCUGGACAUUCUUCUGAGCUAAAAGCAUAUUUAUUUAGUCCCGUCAAACGGAUUAUUACUUUUGCUCUAGCUAAUAUAAAGGUCGAAUGCGCUAUAUGCUGACUGAUGCAGGAUUUUACGACACUUUAUGUGU